UUCCUCCUCCUUCCCUCUCCUCAAUCUCCACGUUGUAGAUGGCGACGGUCGAUCUAAGCAGCGUCAUGUACAUCCACCGGCAGCUCAGGGUUGUGCCAUGCCCACGCCAAUGUGUUGUCCGGCUAGCACCACGCUGCCGCGCAAGAGAUGCGGAGCGAGUUAAGACCAGUCGACAUGCCCGGCGCAGCUGUGCGUGGUGGCCCUUAGACCGAUCAUGGUUUGCCAGCCAUGCAUGUGCCUGCCGCCUAGCACUCGUUGAUCCGCCUUAUAUUGAUGAUGUUGAUGUCUCUACUAGGCAUCCAAACACAAGAUAUGAACAGCAAGUCGCCGGACAAGCAGCAACGCUAAAAACCGUAAGCCUGGCAAGAUCAAUACACAGCUGUAACAGUGAGGUCAACAUUUCAAGCAGAAGCCAUAGAAAUGUUGCCCUUACUCCCUCUCACCUACCGGGGGGUGCUAGGGCACGGAUCCCGUGUUGACGAGCAGUGGACCCGCGUCCCAGCCAUGAAGCGUGACCAGCUACCGGGGAUCAGAGGGAGGAAGGAGAAAGGGUGGUACGGAGAGCAGGUUGGCGGAGCUCUCCCGUCGGGGUUUGUCAGCAGCAGGCGGGGAGGCCGGAACCAGCCGUCGCCCAUAUGGGCUGGCGUAAGUUACGGCCAGCGUUUCCAACAUCCUCCUCCCCGGCUUUUCAUUGCCUCCCCCGAGUUGGCUUGCUCAGCGUCAGUUCAUUGAGGCCAUCUGUGUUGAUUUUGUUCCUGCCAUGGAG